rnacentral:lncRNA from 1 species
AUGGGGAGGGGGGGACUCGCUCCUCUUCAGCAUCACCCACGUUUUGUACAGGGGGUGCUCGGGGAGGGGGCCGUGCCCCCCAAAGCCAUCUCCGGUGUCACCGGGCACGUGUGGCACUUCCCAGGAAGCAGCUGGGAGCUCCCAGUUGCUCCCAGGAGCUGGGAAUUUGCCUGUGAAUCUGCAUUAUAUCGGCAGAGGGUGAGGGGGGGGCGCUCCCUCAGUCUCCGCUGCCCCCCCCCAGGGGUGUCUUGGGGGGGGUUUUGGAGGUGCUGGUCCCCCUCCCAGCUGCCCCUCACACCAGCACCCCCGCACCGCGUGCUCCCACAUUUCAGAGCUGUGACCACGUCUACAUCCCACGGCGUCGCAUCCGCACCCUCGCCGCGGUCCCGGGAGAAGGGAAGAGGGGGGGUUGUGGUGGUGGUUGGGGGGGGGGGUAGGAAACACCCCCUUCGGUCCCCGGUGUCCUCACACGAUCAACCAGCCGUGGGGCUGCUGCUGCCCCAAACCCCGUGCCCGCCGUGCCGGCAUCGCUGGAGCAUCUGGGCUGCCAGGUUUAUCCUUCUCCAUCUUCCGCUGCCAUUAUCCGAGAGGUGGGGUUGGACUUGGAGCCCGGAUGUGGCCGAUCCCGGUGCUGGUGUAGGGAUGGGGGGGAUUUUGGCCGAGGGUCUGGAAUCACCACCGGCGAGCAGCAGGAGUGAUUUGGGCACCGUGCAGCUUGGCUUCGGCCACCUCCUCGUUCCCUCCGUGCCAGCACCCCUUUUUGGGGUCCCCAGGCUGUUCUGGGGGCACAUCCCGGAGCGGGGCUGGGCAAACCCACGCUGGUUGAUCGUCCUUGGCUCCUGGUGGGGCUCCGGCGGUGCCGGGCACCGGGGUCCCCUUGGCCGUGCUCCCCCGGCACCGCAGGCUUUUGUUUCUUCGUGUCAUGUUCCUCUUUUUUGAUUCCUUUCACCUUCUCCCCAGCUCUCCCGCCCAGUAGCAUAUCAUCGGCAUCGGUAACCAGCUCUGUGGCAUCUGAACUCCAUGGAGCCGUGAUGGAACCUGAUAUAUUGUUAAAUAAAAGGGUUUUUUUCCUAUGGAAACCCGGCUGU